rnacentral:rRNA from 1 species
GACGAACGCUGGCGGCGUGCUUAACACAUGCAAGUCGAACGGACAGGCCCUGCUUUUGUGGGGUGCUCGAGUGGCGAACGGGUGAGUAACACGUGAGUAACCUGCCCUUGACUUUGUGAUAACUUUAGGAAACUGGGGCUAAUACCGGAUAGGAGCUCCUGCUCCAUGGUGUGGGUUGGAAAGUUUCGGCGGUUGGGGAUGGACUCGCUGCUUAUGAGCUUGUUGGUGGGGUAGUGGCUUACCAAGGUUUUGACGGGUAGCCGGCCUGGGAGGGUGACCGGCCACAUGGGGACUAAGGGACGGCCCAGAAUGCUACGGUAGGCAGAAGUGGGGAAUAUUGCACAAUAGGCGGAAGCCUGAUGCAGCGACGCCGCGUGCGGAAUGACGGCCUUCGGGUUGUAAACCGCUUUCGCCUGUGACGAAGCGUGAGUGACGGUAAUGGGUAAAGAAGCAACGGCUAACUACGUG